rnacentral:rRNA from 1 species
GACGAACGCUGGCGGCGUGCUUAACACAUGCAAGUCGAACGGAAAGGCCCUGCUUUUGUGGGGUGCUCGAGUGGCGAACGGGUGAGUAACACGUGAGUAACCUGCCCUUGACUUUGGGAUAACUUCAGGAAACUGGGGCUAAUACCGGAUAGGAGCUCCUGCUGCAUGGUGGGGGUUGGAAAGUUUCGGCGGUUGGGGAUGGACUCGCGGCUUAUCAGCUUGUUGGUGGGGUAGUGGCUUACCAAGGCUUUGACGGGUAGCCGGCCUGAGAGGGUGACCGGCCACAUUGGGACUGAGAUACGGCCCAGACUCCUACGGGAGGCAGCUGUGGGGAAUAUUGCACAAUGGGCGGAAGCCUGAUGCAGCAACGCCGCGUGCGGGAUGACGGCCUUCGGGUUGUAAACCGCUUUCGCCUGUGACGAAGCGUGAGUGACGGUAAUGGGUAAAGAAGCACCGGCUAACUGCGUG